rnacentral:rRNA from 1 species
UACGAAGGGGGCUAGCGUUGUUCGGAAUUACUGGGCGUAAAGCGCACGUAGGCGGACCUGCAAGUCGGGGGUGAAAGCCCGAGGCUCAACCUCGGAACUGCCUUCGAUACUGCGGGUCUCGAGUCCGGGAGAGGUGAGUGGAAUUCCUAGUGUAGAGGUGAAAUUCGUAGAUAUUAGGAAGAACACCAGUGGCGAAGGCGGCUCAGCUGGCCCGGUACUGACGCUGAGGCGCGAAAGCGUGGGGAGCAAACAGG